GGUGCGAUCAUAACCUGUUAACAUCUAAGAAGGUCCCUUUUGUAGUGCCAUCUUCAAUGAAAUUUAUUUGGUACGCUUGGCUUCUGAGCCUC